rnacentral:lncRNA from 1 species
CCUCCUGUCCCGCAGCUGGUGGCGCUGGCCGCCCUCCUCUGCUUCGUGGCCUCGGGCGCGCACAGCGCCUACACGGCGCUGGCCGGCAUGGAGACGGCGAUCACCGCCCUGUUCCUGCUGAUCUACCUGCUGAGGCUCGACGCGCGGAUGCGCUGCCUCUUUUGGCCGCUGGCUGUGUUGGGUCUUAUGUUGCUUGUUCUCUGCAUUGUCGACGUGGUUCUUCUUUACAAGAAGAUUAGUCUUGAUAAAGCAAGAGGAAGGAGUGCUCCUGCCAAAUAAGAAUGACACGUUAGUGAAAGAAUGAGUUCUCCAUUCUGUUUUUCCACUCUCUUUUAAAGCAUUUGUAUUUUUGUGUGCUCAAUUUUGAAUUUCCUGUGCACUGAUGUUUCUGCAAGUAUCAUUCAUAAGGUUUUGUACUUUUCCAAAUGCAGUUUGAGCAUUGCGAUUUCACCAGUUAAAGCUUCAGUGAAAAUUGUCAUGUUUUUCUAAAAUUACUUCUGUUUUUACUGUUAGAAAAAUUAUUGUCAUGGUUGUCUUCUUUCUUUAAUAAAAAGAAAAUACAAACGGGCUUAAGUGCA